UGCAUUUGAGACAUCCAAACAAUGAGAUGAGAGUGCAGGUAAAUCAAAAAUUUUAAUUUAAAAAUAUUUCAUUCCAACAAGCUUGAUUAUAACAUCGGUAUCACGAAAAGCAAGCAACUUUACAAAAAGAAAGAGAGAAGAAAAUACAUUAAUUAUGUGAGGUAGAUUUGCUCGAGUUCAUGAGUCCCCAGCAUGUUGCGAUCUAGAGACGUCUUCGGUUGCCGAAGCCACUUGAGUGAUGUCACUGACUCUAUCUACCAUUCUCUCACUUGAAACUUCGAGAAGAGACACAUCAACA
rnacentral:lncRNA from 1 species